rnacentral:rRNA from 1 species
CCUACGGGUGGCAGCAGUGGGGAAUAUUGGUCAAUGGCCGGAAGGCUGAACCAGCCAUGCCGCGUGAAGGUCAGUGCCCUAUGGGCGUUACACUUCUUUCUUGCGGGAGCAUUAAUGGUCACGUGUGGGAUUUUGUAUGUACCAUAUGAAUAAGGAUCGGCUAAAUCCGUGCCAGCAGCCGCGGUAAUACGGGGGAUCCGAGCGUUAUCCGGAUUUAUUGGGUUUAAAGGGUGCGUAGGCGGUUUGAUAAGUUAGAGGUGAAAUGUCGGGGCUCAACCCCGAAACUGCCUCUAAUACUGUUGGACUAGAGAAUAGUUGCGGUAGGCGGAAUGUAUGGUGUAGCGGUGAAAUGCUUAGAGAUCAUACAGAACACCGAUUGCGAAGGCAGCUUACCGAACUAUAUCUGACGUUGAGGCACGAAAGCGUGGGUAGCAAACAGGAUUAGAUACCCGAGUAGUC